CCGAGUGAGGGUCCUUGUGGCCCAACCUCCCACCCGUGUCUAUCUGUACCCUGUUGCUUCGGCGGGCCCGCCGCUCAGUCGGCCGCCAGGGGGCCCUACAGCCCCCAGGCCCGUGCCCGCCGGAGACCCCAACAUGAACCCUGUUCUGAAAGCUUGCAGUCUGAGUUGAUUAUCAUUAAUCAGUUA
rnacentral:misc_RNA from 1 species